GAUGAACGCUGGCGGCGUGCCUAAUACAUGCAAGUCGAACGCAUUGUGGUUGAAAUGAUAUGAAGAACUUGUUCAGAUUUGAUUUUCAACAUUGCAAUGAGUGGCGAACGGGUGAGUAACACGUGGGAAACCUACCUCUUAGCAGGGGAUAACAUUUGGAAACAAAUGCUAAUACCGUAUAAUAAUUAAAACCGCAUGGUUUUAGUUUAAAAGAUGGUCUUGCUAUCACUAAGAGAUGGUCCCGCGGUGUAUUAGUUAGUUGGUGAGGUAAUGGCUCACCAAGACAAUGAUACAUAGCCGAGUUGAGAGACUGACCGGCCACAAUGGGACUGAGACACGGCCCAUACUCCUACGGGAGCAGCAGUAGGGAAUCUUCCACAAUGGACGAAAGUCUGAUGGAGCAACGCCGCGUGUGUGAUGAAGGGUUUCGGCUCGUAAACACUGUUGUAAGAGAAGAAUGACAUUGAGAGUAACUGUUCAAUGUGUGACGGUAUCUU
rnacentral:rRNA from 1 species